UACAGAGGUCUCAAGCGUUGUUCGGAUUCAUUGGGCGUAAAGGGUGCGUAGGCGGCGCGGUAAGUCGGGUGUGAAAUCUCGGAGCUUAACUCCGAAAACUGCAUUCGAUACUGCCGUGCUUGAGGACUGGAGAGGAGACUGGAAUUUACGGUGUAGCGGUGAAAUGCGUAGAUAUCGUAAGGAAGACCAGUGGCGAAGGCGGGUCUCUGGACAGUUCCUGACGCUGAGGCACGAAGGUCAGGGGGAGCAAACGGG
rnacentral:rRNA from 1 species